rnacentral:rRNA from 1 species
UACGUAGGGUGCGAGCGUUAAUCGGAAUUACUGGGCGUAAAGCGUGCGCAGGCGGCGCGUUAAGACAGGUGUGAAAGCCCCGAGCUUAACUUGGGAAUUGCGCUUGUGACUGGCGUGCUGGAGUGUGGCAGAGGGAGGUGGAAUUCCACGUGUAGCAGUGAAAUGCGUAGAGAUGAUGGAGGAACACCGAUGGCGAAGGCAGCCUCCUGGGCCAGCACUGACGCUCAUGCACGAAAGCGUGGGGAGCAAACAAGA